ACCAGUGUGGCUCAGUGAUUAGAGCGUUGGCCUGAGCACCAAAGGGUUACAGGUUUGAUUCUUGGUCAAGGGUA
rnacentral:tRNA from 1 species